rnacentral:lncRNA from 1 species
CAGAAACAGCCAGACUUCCACAUCAACCCUGCCCAUGCUAGCUAGCAGACACCUCUGCAAGGUACAUACACCUCAAUCGUUUUCCCUGCAUGGGAUCUCAGUGUCAGUGGGAGCAUUGAGAGCCCCAGCAUGGAGGGCACAGGGCUCACAGCCCCCACCCACAGAGCUCUGUUUGGCCACCUUUUUGAUGAGUGAAGGAGACCGGCAUUCCUGAGCACUGUCUUUUGAGCACAGAUCAACUUUCAAGGUGCAGAUGAAUGUGUCCUUGCUUCAGAUACAAGGUCCAGUCAGAAGCUACAAAAAAUGGAGCCAUGAAAUAAUAAUGAGAAUCUCCACAUGAAUGGCCCACCCUAGGAGCUUUCUAGACUGGAGGGGUAUUGAAGCUGCACAUCACCCAUGUGUCUCCAGAGCUGAGUGAUGUUCCCAGGUGUGUUCUUCUGAGACCAUCAGUUAUAUCCUUCACAAUGAUAGAUCUUGACCAUUUCUGCUAUUUCUAUAAUGAAAUCUUUUAGUGUUUUGCACUCACUUCUGUACUGAAGCUGCUUCCCCGCCUUGGCCUUUGUGUUCUCCCCAGGAUGGGAAAAGCUCCAUCUGCUUUUUUCUGCCAUCCAAGACCACUUUUCAAGCACGGCUGUGCACCAAGCCCUGUACAAGGUCCCUGGGCUCCCCUGAUGAAAGAGGAGAGAUUGCAGAAGCUCAUGUCUGGCUGUUAAGACAGAUACACACAUAAAAAAGUCUACACAGAGGGAAGAUAAAGUUACAUAGAAAGGCCUGAGGGAGAUGCAAGGAGGAUUCCUGAAUGCUCUCAGCGAAAGAAGGUGGGUCAAGGGAGAGCCAAGAGAAGCCAGAGGGAAGGAGCAUGAGUAAAGGCACAGAACUCUGCAAGUGCCUGUGUGGCCCCAGUGGGUGCUCGCCCUGCAGCCCUCUCCCUUCCUUGCAGUCAGAUCAUGGAUAUGAGACUCAACACUGACCAAUGGGACCCAAGGGGAAGUCUAUGGGGAGCUCAUAGGAGAGCGUUCCUCUCUCUUAAAACAAGAUGAAUAGGAAGGAAACUGUUCAUUUUUACUGGACGCUGUUUUGCCCGCAUGUGUGACUUCAACAACUGCAACACUUUUUAUAAUAUGAAGGUGGACAGAGCCAGAAGAUGGGAAGCAUCUGUGUCCUUAAUAGCACUUUUAGCCACUGAACCAACCUUUGAUCCUCUCUACCCACCAGACCCCUGAUUUGGGAGACAAUAAAUAUCCUAAUUGUUCAAGCCACUUUUAAAAAUAGACUAUUUUUUAGAGAAGUUUUCGGUUCACAGAAAAGUUGAGCAGAAAGUAGAGCGAUUUCCCACAUACCUUCAUCAUCACACACGUACAGCCUCCCCCAAUAUCAACAUCCCCCACUGUGGCGGUGCAUUUGUUAUAAUCAAUGAACCUACAUUGGCACUAAUCACCCUACAUCCAUCAUUUACAUUAGGCUUCUCUCUUGGUAUUGUACAUUCUAUGGCUUUGGACAAAUGCAUAAGGACAUGUACCCAUUAUUAUGGAGUCAUAAAGAGUAUUCUCACUGUCCUAAAAAUCCUCUAUACUCUGUCUAUUCAUCCCUCCCUCUUCACUAACCCCUGGCAACCACAGAUCUUUUUACUGUAUCCACAGUUUUGCCUUUUCAAGAAUGCCAUAUAAUUGGAAUCACACAGUAUAUAGUCUUUUCAGAUUGGCUUUUUUCUCUUAGUAAUAUGCAUUUAAGUUUUCUCCAUGCUUUUUCAUGGUCAAGCCACUUUUAAAUACCAUUUUAUUAAAGUAUGAUUGGCAUACCACAAACUGUACAAGGUUAGUGUAUAAUUUGAUAAGUUUAAGCUUUUACGCAUGUGUGUACCCGUGAAAACAUCAUCACAAUCAAGCUAGUGAACAUAUCUAUCAUCCCCUGAAGUUCCUGGUGAUCUCUUCCUCUUGCCCCUCCCCACUCCACCCCAUCUCCAGCCACCACUCAUCUGCUUUCUGUCACUAUAGUUUGCAUUUUUUAGAAUUUUAUAAAUGGAAUCAUACAGUGCAUCUUUUUUGUAAAUUUUUUUUAACGCACUGGUAUUAUUUUGAGGUUUAUCCAUGUUGUUGGAUAUGUCAGUAAUUUAUUCCUUUUUAUUGCUGAGUAGUAUUCUUUUGUCUGAAUAUACUACAAUUGUUUUAUUCGUAAAUCUGUUGAUGGCAUUUGGGUUAUUUCCACUUUGGAUCUAUUAAAAGUAAACUUGCCAUGAACAUUUGAAUAUAAGUCUUUGUAUGGGCAUAUGCUUCCAUUCUUUUGAGGGAAACACCUAGGAGUAGAACAGCUGAAUCAAAUAGUAGCUGUAUGCUCAACUUUUAAGAAAUGGCCAAAGUUUUCUGAAACAGUGGUACUAUUUUAUAGUCCCUCCAGCAGUGUGAGAAUUGCAGUUGCUUCAUGUCUUCACCAACACUUGGUAUGGUUAGUCUUUUUCAUUUUAGCCACUCUAACAGAUGUGUAGUGCCAUAUUGUUGUAGCUUUAAUUUGCAUUUGUCAGUGACUAAUGAUGUAGAGCAUCUUUCUGUGUAAUUAUUUGCCAUCCUUGUAUCUUCUUUGGUAAAAUGUCCAUACUGGUCUCUAAUUCAUUUUUGAUACAACUACCACAGUAACAGGAUUUCUGUUAAGAUUUGUCUUCUUUACAAAAAGUAAUGCACAUUCAUUGCAGAAAAGCAUCCUUAACUCUACCAUUCAAUGAUAAUUCUCUAUCAAUUUAAUACAAUUCAAAUAUUUUUCUAGUUUGUAAUUUGAUUUAUAGAUUUUUUUAAUAUAGAGGUUUUUAAAAAUGCUAUAACUCUUUGUCUUUGAAAUUAUACUUAUAAAAUUCCCCUCUUUCCAC